UCGGUACCCAGUUUGAUCCUGGCUCAGAUUGAACGCUGGCGGCAGGCACACACAUGCAAGUCGAGCGGGGAAAGGUAGCUUGCUACAUUUCCUAGCGGCGGACGGGUGAGUAAUGCUUAGGAAUCUGCCUAUUAGUGGGGGACAACAUUCCGAAAGGAAUGCUAAUACCGCAUACGCCCUACGGGGGAAAGCAGGGGAUCUUCGGACCUUGCGCUAAUAGAUGAGCCUAAGUCAGAUUAGCUAGUUGGUGGGGUAAAGGCCUACCAAGGCGACGAUCUGUAGCGGGUCUGAGAGGAUGAUCCGCCACACUGGGACUGAGACACGGCCCAGACUCCUACGGGAGGCAGCAGUGGGGAAUAUUGGACAAUGGGCGAAAGCCUGAUCCAGCCAUGCCGCGUGUGUGAAGAAGGCCUUUUGGUUGUAAAGCACUUUAAGCGAGGAGGAGGCUACCGAGAUUAAUACUCUAGGAUAGUGGACGUUACUCGCAGAAUAAGCACCGGCUAACUCUGUGCCAGCAGCCGCGGUAAUACAGAGGGUGCGAGCGUUAAUCGGAUUUACUGGGCGUAAAGCGUGCGUAGGCGGCUUCUUAAGUCGGAUGUGAAAUCCCUGAGCUUAACUUAGGAAUUGCAUUCGAUACUGGGAAGCUAGAGUAUGGGAGAGGAUGGUAGAAUUCCAGGUGUAGCGGUGAAAUGCGUAGAGA
rnacentral:rRNA from 1 species